rnacentral:rRNA from 1 species
UACAGAGAGUGCGAGCGUUAAUCGGAAUUACUGGGCGUAAAGGGCGCGUAGGCGGUUAGAUAAGUUGUGUGUGAAAUCCCUGGGCUUAACCUAGGAGCUGCAUACAAGACUGUUUAGCUGGAGUGCAGUAGAGGGUAGUGGAAUUUCCGGUGUAGCGGUGAAAUGCGUAGAUAUCGGAAGGAACACCAGUGGCGAAGGCGGCUACCUGGACUGACACUGACGCUGAGGCGCGAAAGCGUGGGUAGCAAACAGG